rnacentral:rRNA from 1 species
CCUACGGGGGGCAGCAGUAGGGAAUUUUGCGCAAUGGGCGAAAGCCUGACGCAGCAACGCCGCGUGCAGGAUGAAGGCCUUCGGGUUGUAAACUGCUUUUAUAAGCGAGAAAUAUGAUGGUAACUUAUGAAUAAGGAUCGGCUAACUACGUGCCAGCAGCCGCGGUCAUACGUAGGAUCCGAGCAUUAUCCGGAGUGACUGGGUGUAAAGAGUUGCGUAGGUGGCAUAAUAAGUAGCUAGUGAAAUCUGGUGGCUCAACCAUUCAGACUAUUAGCUAAACUGUUAAGCUCGAGACCGUUAGGGGUAACUGGAAUUUCUAGUGUAGGAGUGAAAUCCGUAGAUAUUAGAAGGAACACCAAUAGCGUAGGCAGGUUGCUGGGACGGUUCUGACACUAAGGCACGAAAGCGUAGGGAGCAAACGGGAUUAGAUACCCUAGUAGUC